GCCUUCGGGUCACCGGCGUCAUGCUCAGUAACACGUCGAUAAUCUGCCCUAUGGUCAGGGAUAGCCUUGGGAAACUGAGGGUAAUACCUGAUAUGAGAAUAUGCCUGGAAUGGUUUUUCUUUGAAAGAUAACGCCAUAGGAUGAGUCGGCGGCGGAUUAGGUUGUUGGUGGGGUAAAGGCCCACCAAGCCGAAGAGCCGUAGGGGCCUUGAGAGAGGGAGCCCCGAGAAGGACACUGAAACACGGGUCCUAGCCCUACGGGGUGCAGCAGGCGCGGAACCUCUACAAUGCAGGAAACUGUGAUAGGGGGAUCCCAAGUGCUUACGCUUUGCGUAAGCUUUUGCCAAGGGUAAAAACCUUGGAGAAUAAGUGGUGGGAAAGACUGGUGCCAGCCGCCGCGGUAACACCAGCGCCACAAGUGGCAAUCGCUUUUAUUGGGCCUAAAGCGUCCGUAGCCGGUCAAGUAAAUCUUUUGUGAAAUCGUACAGCCAAACUGAACGGCGUGCAGAAGAGACUGCUUGACUUGAAACCGGGAGGAGUCAGAAGUAUGCAUAGGGGAGCAGUAAAAUGCUAUAAUCCUUUGUAGACUACCGGUGGCGAAGGCGUCUGACUAGAACGGAUCUGACGGUGAGGGACGAAAGCUAGGGGAGCAAUCCGGAUUAGAUACCCGAGUAGUCCUAGCUGUAAACUCUGCGAGCUAGGUGUUGCAUAUUCUCCGAGAAUAUGCAGUGUCGAAGCGAAGGUGUUAAGCUCGCCGCCUGGGAAGUAUGGUCGCAAGACUGAAACUUAAAGGAAUUGGCGGGGGCGCACUACAAGGGGUGAGGCGUGCGGUUUAAUCCAAUUCCACACGGAAAAUCUCACCAGGAGCGACGGCAGGAUGAAGGUCAGUCUAAAGGGCUUACCCAACGAGCCGAGAGGUAGUGCAUGGCCGUCGUCAGCUCGUGCCGCAAGGUGUCCUGUUAAGUCAGGCAACGAGCGAGACCUAUACUUACAAUUGCCAGCAAGGCUUUUGCGGAUUGAGCACAUUGUGAGGACUGCCCUCGAAAGAAGGAGGAAGGUGCAGGCAACGGUAGGUCUGUAUGCUCCGAAUCUCCUGGGCAACACGCGCGCAACAAUGGUAGGGACAAUGGGAUGCGACUCCGAAAGGAGGAGCUAAACCUCUAAACCCUAUCUUAGUCCAGAUCGAGGGUUGCAACUCACCCUCGUGACGCUGGAA
rnacentral:rRNA from 1 species